AUGUUCGACCAUGUCGGUAUGUUGUGCAGACAUGCAUUGAAGGUAAUGAUUCGUGAAGAUUUUCUAAAGAUCCCCUCUAGAAAUAUUUUGAAGCGAUGGACUAUAUGGGCAACUGGAUCUUAUCCAGCAGGCAUGGACAUGAGCGAUAACGGGCCACAUACAGAUGACUGUAGUUAUCUAAAGAACCUCCUGCAUAUUGCUGCCGAGGAUCUCAUGAAAGCGAGUUCACAUGAUAAGAAGAGUUUAGAAGCUGCGGUAGAAGGGAUGGGCAAACUCACAGCUGCAAUACGGAAGAACACUAGUAUAACUGAAACCAACCAUCUUCUGGAACCGCCACAUGUCGAGAGUUUCGUCAACAUCCACGUCAACACGGUUCUCGCUCCUGAACGGGUGAAAAAAAGUGGAAAGCCAGCGUCCGUGAGACCUAAGUCAAAGAUGGAUUAUGCUGCAGCAUCUGCUAAGAAGAAAAACAAGAGUAAUAAAACUGCGAAGAAAAAUCCAUGUGGUGAUUUGAAGCCAAGGGAGCGUGCUCUAUCUUCCUUGUAUGAUAAUGACCAGACUACAGAUACCCCGUCUAAGGAGUUAGAAGAUGAAGUAUCGCCAAAUAUCCCCAGCAAGAAGAGGAAGGUAAUAUGUAGCACAUGCCACGAGCCUGGACACACACGUCUGAAAUGCACCAGAAGAGGCAUUGCACAAAACCUGUUCGAGUGCCUUCAAUUAUAA
rnacentral:rRNA from 1 species